GCACAGGGGAGCUUGCUCCCUGGGUGACGAGCGGCGGACGGGUGAGUAGUGUCUGGGAAACUGCCUGAUGGAGGGGGAUAACUACUGGAAACGGUAGCUAAUACCGCAUAACGUCGCAAGACCAAAGAGGGGGACCUUCGGGCCUCUUGCCAUCAGAUGUGCCCAGAUGGGAUUAGCUAGUAGGUGGGGUAAUGGCUCACCUAGGCGACGAUCCCUAGCUGGUCUGAGAGGAUGACCAGCCACACUGGAACUGAGACACGGUCCAGACUCCUACGGGAGGCAGCAGUGGGGAAUAUUGCACAAUGGGCGCAAGCCUGAUGCAGCCAUGCCGCGUGUGUGAAGAAGGCCUUCGGGUUGUAAAGCACUUUCAGCGAGGAGGAAGGUGGUGAGCUUAAUACGCUCAUCAAUUGACGUUACUCCCAGAAGAAGCACCGGCUAACUCCGUGCCAGCAGCCGCGGUAAUACGGAGGGUGCAAGCGUUAAUCGGAAUUACUGGGCGUAAAGCGCACGCAGGCGGUUUGUUAAGUCAGAUGUGAAAUCCCCGGGCUCAACCUGGGAACUGCAUUUGAAACUGGCAAGCUAGAGUCUCGUAGAGGGGGGUAGAAUUCCAGGUGUAGCGGUGAAAUGCGUAGAGAUCUGGAGGAAUACCGGUGGCGAAGGCGGCCCCCUGGACGAAGACUGACGCUCAGGUGCGAAAGCGUGGGGAGCAAACAGGAUUAGAUA
rnacentral:rRNA from 1 species